CGCGCUCCGCCUCCUCCGGGCCUGCGCGAUCCGACGGCGGCCGCGAUGACGGGCGCGGAGGUGCCCACGCUGCUGCGGCGGCUGCAGACGCUUCAGGCAGAGCGGGCCGAGCGGUACCGGCAGCUGGAGGAGGGCCACCGUGCGUACCUGAGCAGCGGCCCGCACUACGACUUCCCACGGUACCGGCAGCUGGUCCACGAGGUGACAGUGGCUUUUGGUGGCAUCUCCAGGGAGGUUCUGAGCAUCGCCGGGUGCCUGCGGGACCAACUGGCCCGGCCCGACCUGGCCCAGCACCUCGAUCGCCUCCAGGACCGGGAACGGGAGAAGCUGCAGUUGACAGCACAGCUCCAGCUGGCCCGGCAGCUCGCUCAGGACCAUCCCCAGGAUGAAUCCCAUCAGCAGGAGGUGCAGGACCUCAAACACAAGCUAAUUAAAACCACCGAGGCAAUCAGCGAGGUUCUCCAGGAUCUCAAGUACGAUUCGGAAGAAGUCGAGUGAUGGGCGGCCCCGUGGGAACGGCUGAGGGAGGGGGAGGGGGGCCCCGCUCCUUCCUCAAGCCACACGCGCCACUGGUCGUAGAGUUUGAUGCCGAGGUUGGAGCAGCCGUAGGCGUGUUUCUUCACCCAGCCCAGGAACUGCUUCAGCUCCCUCCUCAACGUCGUGUUCUGCUCCCCCCCCUUGGGGUCACAGCCCCCCGACGCCCUCUCUGUGGGGACAAGGACGAUGCCACCACCGAGGGAGGGGACCUUGAGGUCUUCGUUGCGCGGCCCAGGGGAGAGGAGGAAGGAUUUGGGGUGCUGGGUGGGGAAGCUGAGCUCCAAAUUGGCUCUGAGAGGGGGGGAUGUGUCCCCCCCCUGCCACCAACAUUGAGUUAUGGAAUGUCAGGGGUCGGAAGGGACCUCUGGAGAUCCUGGAGUCCAAUCCCACCCAGGGACACAUCCAGGAGGAGGCUCCACAACCUCUCUGGGCAUCCCGGGCUCCAUCCCCCUCACCCUCCAGAACUUCCCAUGUUUCAACCCGUUAUUCCUUGCCCUAUUCCUGGGCAUCACUGACAUUGCUCUCAUCCUCUUGACCCCCACCCCUUAGAUGUUUAUAGGGAUCAUGUCACCCCGUGUCCCACCCCCGGAGUGCCCAGAAGAUCCCCUCUCAGCCUUCCAAAGGCUGAACACCCCCAGGUCCCUCAGCCUUCCAUAGGGAAGAUCUCCAAGUCCCUUCAUCACCCUCCUCACCCUCCUUUGGCCUCUCUC